UCAGGAUGAACGCUGGCGGCGUGCUUAACACAUGCAAGUCGAACGGAGUUUUUAAACGGAAGUUUUCGGAUGGAAGUUUAAAAACUUAGUGGCGGACGGGUGAGUAACGCGUGGGUAACCUGCCUCAUACAGGGGGAUAACAGUUAGAAAUGACUGCUAACACCGCAUAAUAUAGCGAAACCGCAUGAUUUUUGCUAUCAAAUAUUUAUAGGUAUGAGAUGGGCCCGCGUCUGAUUAGCUAGUUGGUGGGGUAAAAGCCUACCAAGGCGACGAUCAGUAGCCGGCUUGAGAGAGUGAUCGGCCACAUUGGGACUGAGACACGGCCCAAACUCCUACGGGAGGCAGCAGUGGGGAAUAUUGGACAAUGGGGGAAACCCUGAUCCAGCGAACCGCCGCGUGAGUGAAGAAGUAUUUCGGUAUGUAAAGCUCUAUCAGCAGGGAAGAUAAUGACAGUACCUGACUAAGAAGCCCCGGCUAACUAUGUGCCAGCCGCCGC
rnacentral:rRNA from 1 species